rnacentral:sRNA from 1 species
UUCUGUGUACGUCCGCGUCCCUUAUGACAC